rnacentral:rRNA from 1 species
GCGAGGAAUAUUGCACAAUGGAGGAAACUCUGAUGCAGUAACGCCGCGUGAGGGAGGAAGACCUUCGGGUUGUAAACCUCUUUUGAGAGAGACGAGCGAGGACGGUAUCUCUAGAAUCAGUCUCGGCUAACUACGUGCCAGCAGCCGCGGUAAGACGUAGGAGGCGAGCGUUAUCCGGAUUCACUGGGCGUAAAGCGCAUGUAGGCGGUUGCACAAGUCCGUUGUUAAAGCCCCUGGCUCAACUGGGGGAGGUCAAUGGAGACUGUGCGACUUGAGGGCAAUAGAGGCACGUGGAACUCCCGGUGUAGCGGUGGAAUGCGUAGAGAUCGGGAAGAACACCAGUGGCGAAGGCGACGUGCUGGGUUGCACCUGACGCUGAGAUGCGAAAGUGUGGGGAGCAAACGGGAUUAGAUACCCGAGUAGUCC